AGAGUAUAGUUCAGUGGUAGAGUGCAGGCUUAGCAUGCCAGAGGUCCUGGGUUCAGUUCUCAGUACCUCUG
rnacentral:tRNA from 1 species